UCACAAGGGAAUGAAACAGUGCGGAAUGCCCUGGCGAGAUGUGACCGCUUUCCGGAACACUGCGAACACAGCACAUGCCAGCGACAGAAUUGACGUUGACACCUUUCCGGAUACGCGAAUAAGGACACACCCAGGUCCUGGAAGAUUGGUCCACGGAUAACGAACUACGGAUAACCAAGACGAAAUUCAAUUGUUGCAGGAAAUUUAGGAGAGGCCGAUUGGUUCGAAUAACGACAGGCUCCGAGUCUCCUGUCUCGCAUCUCCCCGAAAACAUCGAAUUAAUAAGGAAAAUGCAAGUUUGAGGGUCAUGAAUUGGAGGACGGCAAGCAAGUCCAACUGGAACCAGAGCAAUGUCAGGUUGCAAUCUGCGAU